ensembl:lncRNA
GUGUUUGCAUAUUUGGAUUUUCAUCCAAAUGAGAUGAGAAGGAGCAUCUCAAGGGGUUUUCCCUUUCAUAAAAUUCAUAUUCAAAUGCAAAAUUCCCCAGACGAAGUUCCCAUGGAAAGUUUCCAGGAAAUUUUCUGCUCGAUUGUAACCCUAGUAGAAGCUCAUGCAAAUGUAAAAACAGACAGGCUGCGUGACAUCCUUAUACUUAAAAACCAUAAACAAAAUUACAAAACCACUUCCCAUUAAAUUCCUGCAUCUAUACAUCUCCAUCAGAAGACAAAAUUCAUACAAGCACAAGACUCACUGCAGAGGAACCAGUGUCCAGCGAGGAGCAUCUCAGCUGAGCACGAAACGAAAAAGAAAACCAUCAAGAUCAUUUAGUACACUUACAGUAGAACAAGAAGAAAUGAACAUACAAAUACCAACACCAGCAGUAGCAGUGACUGGGGUCUCCGUUCAGCCUGCUGUAUCGGUGGUUCAGCCCGCUGUAACGUAUGUUCAGCCCGCAGUAUCGGUGGUUCAGCCUGCUGUGAUCAUGAGUCCAAUGCCAGUGGUUGCUGCAGUACCAGAUUACUUGGGCUACUCCAUCUUUACCAUGCUGUGCUGCUGUUUACCUCUGGGCAUCGUUGCUACCAUCUUCUCAUGCAACACUCGAGAUGCUAACUUGUCUGGACAGCGAGAGUUAGCGAUGAGCCACUCCAGAAUUGCAUUUAUCCUGAACAAUGUGGCUCUCGGUAUCGGCCUCACAGUCAUAACAGUGGUCAUUAUCAUUCGUUUUACAGUUCUUUGAACAACAUCGUUGAACAGAUGUUUUAUUCUGCUUCAAAUGCAUCUACUUAUACUGUCAAUGAUACCGUCAACUCAAAUCAAUGAUUUUGUGGAAGAAAUGAAAAAUAUUUUCCAGACCCUCUGAAGGGAAUGAUCUAAUGUACGCUUAUGUUUUAUUUCUUUUUGUAUUUAAUGCUGGCAGACUGAUCUGUUUGAUUAGCAGUCGGUUUGAUUUACUGCUUUUCACUUAAUCCUGGUAAAUUACACAUUAAAAUACAGCACUGCACUAAAAACAUUAAUUGUUCUGGUCAUCUAUAGGGGCUUUCACACUGGAGGAACCUUUUCAUAGUUCCUAGAACUAUUGGCGGAAAAACUCUCACUUUUUGGCAUCAAACUUAUUGUUCUAGGAUCUCCGUUUGGGGGAAUUAAAUAGGGGAUAAUUGCAAUGACUUCUGUAUUCUUUUAAACAGGUCUCACCGCUUCAGGUUCAAGCGUUUUGCAUAUGCAUCAUUAAAUAUGAAGUUGUUUUACUCAAGAUUCAUUCAAAAGUACAAGCAAAUAAAUGAUCAUAACCAAUGUCCAUCACAUACUGUAUAAGGAUUGAAUCUAAAAGUUGUUUAUUUUUAUUCUUUUCACUAACAUUUAAAUAUACAAAUUUAAUAAAAUGUUAACAAUAAAAAUAGCUUGCUAGUUUAACUGAAAUCUGUAGAUAUCGCCAUUAUUUAAUAUGGGUGUUAACACAUUUUCUGAGAGCUACGGCUUGACCGCUGCACCUCAUGCAGAACCAGAGAAAAAAUGGUUGCACUACCAGUAUGUAGUUAAGCAGUUAUUUCGUAAUAUAUAUGAUUUAAAAUUUGUGUAAUUGACUUUUGCCAAUGUAGAUGUCUUUAUACAAAAGUGAUGUGAACAUAAACACGCAGCACGGAGUUAGAUAUCUAGGCUAUCCGUGUAAUAACAACAUAAAGAAAUUAUUUUAAAGUGUAAUAAUAACUAGGUCUGUGAAUCUUUGGGUAGACAGCGAAUUGAUUCGAUUCACGAUUCAUAUGUUUUCGAAUCGAUUCAAGAAAGAUAUUUGCAAAUUCAGAAAGAUUCACAAUUAUUCAAUUAUAUCAAUAAUUCGAUUCGAUUCGAUUCGAUUAACGAUUCGAUUCAGCAUUCUUUAAGUGCAUUCACAGCAUUAUUUAAAUGCUUAGUUGGGGGCAAAUUACACAACAGCCUUUAUGGUUAGAGAACCAUAGGUUACGGGGGGCGGAAAAAAAAACAAACAAACACUUUUGUCCAUUGUUAGAUGCCAUUUUAAUGAUGCUAUGGCAUGACAUGGCAUACAUGUACAGUAUGUAGAAAUUUAUGUAAGCCAAGAUUUUAAAUGAGAGCUUUAAAAGUAUUGUGUAUAGGCUAACAUUUAGUCACACCAGGGGUGUAGCCAUCAUUUCAGAAGCGACAGAAAUGUCAAAUACAAUAAUUUUAUGUAUGUAUUUUAUUAUUAUUUUUAAUUUAUUAUUUUCUUAUCUCUUACUUUUCUUAUCACUGCUGGACAUUAAUCAAUUAUUUUUGAUCUAUAUGUUUUUUUUUUCCCCAGUGGCAUUUUUAUGAUUGUUUUAUAUACUACAAACAAUUAUUUAAAUUUUCUGCACAGAAUAAGGUAAAAAAUAUACUUUAUAGUAAUAAAUGAUAUUUCAAUUAGCACUGCAACAUUCAUAAAUUUUAUUUAUUUAUUGUGUUUAUUGUUUAUAUUUAUAAGGAAAGAAUUCAAUCAUGCCAUGCUAUGAGCAGAAGCAGACUAAGCCGCUCUGCGAGCCGAGUUCUGGAGUACUUAUGUUAAGGGCCCCUAGAGAACAUAAGCCAACUGAGUACUGAGCGUAGCUAAGGACUUUGGACAUAGCUAUUUCCACCAUAGGGAGAAAUAAUUCAAUUCAAUUCAAGUUUAUUUGUAUAGUGCUUUUCAUGAUACAAAUCGCUCCAAAGAAACUUUACAGAAAAUUAAGUUUCUACAAUAUAUUUAGUAGUAGCUUAUCAGUGGUGACUGUCAGUUAAUGUACAUGGCAGAAAUGCAUGGAAAAAUCAAUUAAAGACGUUAUCAAACAGACAAUGAACACUAAUAACAGCAAUUAUUAUAUGUUGCAAUUGAACUUAUAGCAAAAUUUGGUAGUUCUGUAUGUUGUUUCAGGUUUGGCAUCAUCUGAGGUCCUCUGAGGGGUUGGCAUCAUCUCUUCUCAUGUGUUCUGGAUCCAGACUGAAGCUUGUGUAAAUCUUAGUUGCAAAAACAGAGAAACAAAUAGAGACAUAAUUAGCGUAGCUGCUGUUCCAACCAAGCAAAAAUGAUUUGUUCAACCCAAGCUAAGGAAUAACAAUGUGUAUUUGAUCAGAUAUAACUGCAGUACAAGAUUGUGAGAUGCAUUAUUUGAAUGCUUGGCCAAAGAGAUGUGUCUUUAAUCUAGAUUUAAACAGAGAAAGUGUCUCUCGGUUUAAGACUGAGUGCAUUACAAUAGUCCAGUCUAGAGGUCUUGAAUGCAUAAACUAGUUUUUUUGCAUCAGAAACAGAUAACA